CUUCCUUCCCACAAGGGAGCUGAUAGAUCUCUUUACAGGCAAAAGUUUUCAAUCUCUGUCAUAGCCUACUUGCAGUAUGUAGCAGAUUAUUACUAAUGGAUCUCUUGCAUUGGUGUGCUGGAAUCCAGGCUUUUCAUUAUCAAUCGCUCCCUAGAAAGACUUUCCCCGUCUAUGUAUGGCAGGGUAACACAUCACUGUUGAUGCAAGCUUUGGCUGAAGAUUUGACACCACUAGCCUGAAGACUGCUAAUAAUCAGCAUCCAUUUUUUCUGCCAUUCAAGAAAUAGCCAGGGACAUGGAGUGUACAAGAGAUACAUAUGAAGUAAAUCGAGAGAUGAAAACCUAUACCAUAUUUUUAAACAUAAAUGGCAAACCUUGCAAUAUGAAUGGAAAGCAAAUGAAAUGCAAAGAAGGAAAGACAGAGAAACAGCUGACCCUAUCACUGGAGGCAAAAUAAGGCCACUUGGUGUGUCUGGCUCUUUUUUUGUAAAAUCACUUCAGUCCAAUUGCUCAAAGAAUGUGAAAUAAUGAACAUAUUAGCAAGUAGCAGUUGUUGAUUGGUGCCCAUCAUAAAAUGAAAACGGUCAAUUUUUGAUCUGAUUUAACAUCCAUUAAAAAAAUGUCAAACUGUUGCUGAAAUAAUAUCAUUGUAUCAAGUAGUGUUUCAGGUUGGCCAUCCCAGAGAUGAAACUGAACCUAUUCAAUAAAAUACAGGAUAGUGUGUUCUUAAAAUCUAUC
rnacentral:lncRNA from 1 species